ensembl:lncRNA
AUCUGCUUUUCUGCUCUAUGGAGGAGACAAUGGCUUAGCCACCCUGCAGUGGUCAUAAGGCUCUGUAACACAUAUUAAAUCUGGAUUUUUCACUGGACCUUGUCAUGGCUCUGAAUAAGGCCACUCUCAAUGUCAUUAUUGGAGCUGACUGAACACAUCAUGAACCGGUAAAAUAAUUGAUUGACCAUGUUGCUGCUGCUGUUGCUGCUUUCAUCAGAGUGGAUGGAUAGUGUCCUUUAUUUCACAACAGUCUUUAGAAGCUGCUCUGCACCAUCACUCUUAUCAGCCUGGUUGUAUACAUCUGCCUCUACUGCCUUAUGCUGUGGGACAUAUUGUUACUAAAUACACCAAGGCCAGGCUCCUUUACUUAUCUGAGCUGUCUGGAUCUUGCUUGGUUAAUUAACAUGUAUUUUUCCUGGUUUUGAUCGAGCCGGCACGGUUUUUGGUUUCCAUUGUUUACUGAACGUUUUCAAUGACUGACUGCCGUCGAGACUGAAGGUGUUCAAUCAAAUUAGUUGCAGCCAAAUCAUCAUGCGGGUUGAAUAACCCACGGUGAAUAAACUUAAUAGAUUUCUUAAGUCAGAGAUUGCUUCAUGGUUCAUACUGUGUGAUGACAGGAAUAGAUAUUAACAGCUCAAGGGGAAGACAGACAGAGAGCUCUCGGUGACAUUGCAUCAAAGUCUGAAGAGACAAGGAGAGCACGGGUAGACGCAUUAGGGCAUCCCCUCGAAGUGAAAGAGCACAAGUGCUAACACUCCAUAGGCUUAAUAACUGAAACUGGCUGCCUACGGUAUGACAGAGAAUGAAGGGGAUAUUUCACAUUAGAGGAUUGUAGGAUUGUAUGUUGAGCGGAAGGUAGCCUAGCGGUUAGAGCAUUGGGCCACUAACUGAAAGGUCGCUGGUUUGAACACCCGAGCCGACAAGGUGAAAAACCCGUUGAUGUACCCUUACGCAGGGCCCUUAACCCUAAUUUGCUCCAGGGGCACUGUACUACUACGGCUGACCCUGUAAAACAACACAUUUCACUGCACCUCUUCGGUGUAUAGUAUGUGAUAAUAAAACGUGUUUUAAUUUUUUUUAUUCCAUAAACUCAGUCAGAUGUAAAGGUUUAAUUAACAGGAAGAAAAGCUAGGUGCUACUUCAAAAAGUGGGCAUUGCCAUAAAUGUGCUGUAUAUUUCUUAGCGAGUGUUUCUGAGAGCUUACAGGGAGUUCUGCUACACAAACAUUCUUGACAUUGAUCACAACAACUUCCCCCAUCAUCAUCAGCUACCCAGGGUGAGGGGUCAUAAACCACCUAACUGACCACAUAUCUUAUCUCAGGCUGUUAUGUGCUAGCCCCAUCUGCCCCUGCCUCCGCCCUGCCUUCGUACUGCCUUCCUCCUGCCUCCUGCCUCUAUCCACCCUGCCUCAAUCCAUCCGCCCGCUCAAAUCAGGCUGUUUAAACACUGACCAGUUUUACUGCCCUGCUCUGUAAAUACCUGCCACGUUCUUUUGCUCCCCACCUGGAAAAUCAAUCAAUUGCAUGUUCACUGGGUAAACACCUGGCUAUCGCAGAAAUCACUUAAUGUCUUUUACUA